rnacentral:rRNA from 1 species
GACAGAGGGUGCAAACGUUGUUCGGAAUUACUGGGCGUAAAGCGCGUGUAGGCGGCUGCGUGUGUCGGGCGUGAAAUCCCAUGGCUCAACCAUGGAAGUGCACCCGAAACUGCGUAGCUAGAGUCCUGGAGAGGAAGGUGGAAUGCUUGGUGUAGAGGUGAAAUUCGUAGAUAUCAAGCGGAGCACCGGUGGCGAAGGCGGCCUUCUGGACAGUGACUGACGCUGAGACGCGAAAGCGUGGGGAGCAAACAGG